UGGGGAAUUUUGCACAAUGGGGGAAACCCUGAUGCAGCGACGCCGCGUGAUUUAGAAGGCCUUCGGGUUGUAAAAAUCUUUUUUAUGGGAUGAAAAUGACAGUACCAUAAGAAUAAGGUCCGGCUAAAUACGUGCCAGCAGCCGCGGUAAUACGUAUGGACCGAGCGUUGUCCGGAAUCAUUGGGCGUAAAGGGUACGUAGGCGGCCCAGUAAGUUAGAAGUGAAAUAAUAUAGCUCAACUAUAUAAAGCUUUUAAAACUGCUAGGCUUGAGAGAUGGAAGGGAAAGUGGAAUUCCUAGUGUAGCGGUGAAAUGUGCAGAUAUUAGGAAGAAUACCGGUGGCGAAGGCGACUUUCUGGCCAUAACCUGACGCUGAGGUACGAAAGCGUGGGUAGCAAACAGG
rnacentral:rRNA from 1 species